rnacentral:rRNA from 1 species
GGACUACCAGGGUAUCUAAUCCUGUUUGCUCCCCACGCUUUCGCGCCUCAGCGUCAGUAUCGGUCCAGAGCGCCGCCUUCGCCACCGGUGUUCUUCCCAAUAUCUACGAAUUUCACCUCUACACUGGGAAUUCCACGCUCCUCUCCCGACCUCAAGCCGCGCCGUUCCGAGCGCAUUUCCCAGGUUGAGCCCGGGGCUUUCACACUCGACAAACGCGGCCGCCUGCGCGCCCUUUACGCCCAGUGAUUCCGAACAACGCUCGCCCCCUUCGUAUUACCGCGGCUGCUGGCAC